rnacentral:lncRNA from 10 species
ACCUCUCCCUGCCUUCCUCCUUCCACACAGACCAGCGCACCCGGGCUCGCUCAGCUAUGCAAGAGCGGCGCCCUCCCAGAGGUCAAGUUCCCCCUCCACCAGGCAGUAGGGACAGCCUGGCCUGGAGCGUGGCUGUUCUGCCUGGGGGACCCUGCGGAUAUUUUCCAUGCAGCCUGCCCCACUGUGGUCCCCCUAGACCUAGUCUCCUUGCCAAGCUUCCUUCUCGCACCCCCAGCCCGCCCCCUCGUCUCAUCUAACUCAGUCAUCUCUCCCUGUCUGUCCCCUGAAGCCCUGAGCUAGCCACUUCCUCCCCCACAACUACACCCAGGCGCGCAUCCCUCCCUGUCGCUAACUCCGGCUGGACUUGCCACAACUUUUGCUUUUAUAGCCCUCAGCCGCGUCACCGGGGUCAUUGCUCAACGGGACGAUUCCUCCACGGCCACCGGCAAAAAAGUCCCUCCCCGACCCUGCCCGGAGAGACUCCCGGGCGGUGCAUGGUCUCCCAGGCGGCCCCCACGCAAGGACCCCAGUGUAUCCCCGCUUCUCUUUAACAGUGCUUUUUGGGAUCGCGGACAGCGCUCAAGGCAUCCCCAGCCUGGCUCUUCUGGAAGCAAACCUGGUGAACUCCUGAGCCCUCCAGCAAGGCGGGCAGGGCCCGAAUGUCUGGAGAGGACUUUGGACCGUGUAGCGGGCACCUCCCUUGCUAGGGGGUGCAGGGUGAUGAGGAAGCUCUGGCCCCUGAGGUAGAGGAUGAAAAAGGACCCCGGUUCAAGUAACCAGAAUGGAAAAUGGCAUCUGACAGGAACUCCUGCCAGGAACCUCUCCCUGGUUAACACCCACACCCCAUACAAAACAACCCCUUGAAAGCAGGCCCCCUUGGCAACCGAGAAGAAGCUGGUGAAGACAUUUCGCCUGCGUCUGUGAGGUGGUAUCAGCAGGCAGGGCUGGGCCUGACAUGCACCCCUCCCUGUGCUUCUCGGAAAACUGGUGACUGUGUGUCAUCUGACCUUCAGCACAGAAGGUGGUGAUGUGGCAAGCCCAGGCUUGCUCCCUGGCGCCUGCUUAGCCCUGUUUCUCUGCCAGGGGAAGAUUCCGGCAGUGCGGCCUCCUCCAGGAUCUGCCCCAUCAGUCUCUUCCUGACUGUAUCUCCAGGGGUGGGUUGGGGUGGGGUGAUUUGGCCUGAAAGAACCGUGUGGAAAGAGGGAAUUGUCUGUCAAAAUGUUCUAGAAAGCUGGGCAGCUUAUGAAACCAAUGGAGGAGUCUUCACUGCUGCUUCACAGUACUGGGCAGUGGAGUCAGCCAGACCUUUCUUUAUCUCACCAGGCAUCUGAGAGGUAGGUGUUGACAGCAGGAUCUGUGGGAAACAAACGGCCUCCUGCCAGGCCUGGAGCAUGAGGUGCCCUCAGGAAGGGCAUGAGCAUCUGCAGUUACCCACCUUGGUCCCCACAG